UACGGAGGGUGCGAGCGUUGUCCGGAAUCAUUGGGCGUAAAGGGCGCGUAGGCGGCUUUUUAAGUCAGAGGUGAAAUCCUGGAGCUCAACUCCAGAACUGCCUUUGAUACUGGAGAGCUUGAGUCCGGGAGAGGUGAGUGGAACUGCGAGUGUAGAGGUGAAAUUCGUAGAUAUUCGCAAGAACACCAGUGGCGAAGGCGGCUCACUGGCCCGGUACUGACGCUGAGGUGCGAAAGCGUGGGGAGCAAACAGG
rnacentral:rRNA from 1 species